rnacentral:lncRNA from 1 species
AACACAAGCAUAGUUUAUAUAUUUAUAAGAGUAACACAAAACAUGAAAAAUAGAUCCCAACAAUGGCUAUACGAGUGAACCAAUAUCCAGAAUGUUACAUAAAUAUGUCAAAUAAGUAAACUGUCAGCACACCAACCUAUACUUAGUGUCAAAGCUACAUAUAAAGGUAUGAUUUAAUAUAAUACAAACUUUAAUCAUUGCAAUCAAUUAUCUAUAAUGUUUUAAUCUAUGUCAAAACAUAUAACUGGAAUCUGUGUAAAUAUGUAAUCCCAAAUCCAUCAAAAUAAGGUUCCCUCUUGUCAUAGUAAAAUUGGUUUAGAAACUUACAUAGUCAUAUAACUAGGAGGUACUACCGCCUCCUUCAACAGCAACAAUAAUAACCUGAUUUGCAGCACCUAUUCGCAAAGCUACUUCAUCGUAAACUGAAACCUCCUCAUAACCAUCAAUUGAAACAGCUUCUGAUAGUCAUGUUUAGAUCGUAUGUCACUAACUUCUUCACUCCUUUCAUAGCUGAUAUUGUUGAUAAUGCCCAACAAUUCCCACAGCUUCCUUGAUCUUUGACUCCAACAACAACGUCUUCUUUUUUUUAAUCAACCAAUUCUGGAAAUUUCACCAACACAUGUAGCAUACCUAUUUGGUUUGUGCGUUCACUUUACGAUUUCUCCGGUUCAUAUUGAUCAUGAUUCCCAAAAGCCUGAUUCUAUACUCUUCAUAGGAGAUCGGCGAGCCGGUUCAACCCCAAUCCAAAAAUCCCAAGGUUAUCGUUGGUUCUAGGCAUUGAUUAGAAUGUUUAUGGAAGAGGUGGAGGAAAGGAAAUAGGUCACAGAGAUUUUGAGGUUGAAGACGAUAGGUGAUGGUGGUGGUAUGGUUAUGGAUUUGUUGUGGUCGGAUCUGUGGUAGACCGGAAAAACACCAACUGUGAGACGAAAUUUAUUGUGUUGGUUAGCGAUGUGGUUUAAGUUGAGCUGGACGGAGGAUACAACGAAAGGAGGUGAGGUUGUCGCGAUUGGAGGGAAAUCGCGACGGUGAGGAGGUAUGUUGAGAGGUAGAUCGAAGAAGGCGGAGGUGAGGACAGUCAGAUGUUUUUUUCGUGUGUUUGGAGAUAGACAGCGAAAAAGUGAGUUCACGGUUAUUAUCAGCGAAGCGAGUCGAAGAAUGCUUUAAUCCAAAGUGAUUGGCAUUUGGAGAAAAGUUGAAGGUCGGAGGUUGUCGUAGUUGUUUCGCGGUUGGUGGUGGACGGUGAUGACGGAAGUGUGAGGGUUGUGUCAGACAGAGGGAGUUCGUCGGAGGUGUUGUGAGGAAGAAGAAGAUGUGGGGUUUGUGGUUGCAAAUCCAAGAUGGAGGCGGAGGUGGAAAUGUUUAAAGGAAGAAGAAAGUUAUGGUAAGGUGAGAGGAAAUUGCUUGACACGGUGAGGUGAUUGUGGGGUGUUAUUGGUAUUCAAAAAAAAUAGAGGGUGAGUGAAUAUGUUCUUCUUUACUGCUAGAGAGAUGUUUUUUUAAGAAGAAGAAGAGAUUCCCCUCUUUUUCAAUGAUCU